rnacentral:rRNA from 1 species
CGAAGGAGUGGCGAACGGGUGAGUAAUACAUAAGCAACCUACCCACGAAGACUGGGAUAAUCUCUGGAAACGGGGACUAAUACCGGAUAGGUAAUCGGAAGGCAUCUUCUGGUUAUUAAAGGUUAAAAACACUGGUGGAUGGGCUUAUGGCGCAUUAGUUAGUUGGUGAGGUAACGGCCCACCAAGACGAUGAUGCGUAGCCGGCCUGAGGGAGUGAACGGCCACAUUGGGACUGAGACACGGCCCAG